GACGAACGCUGGCGGCGUGCUUAACACAUGCAGGUCGAACGAUGAAGCGCCAGCUUGCUGGUGUGGAUUAGUGGCGAACGGGUGAGUAACACGUGAGUAACCUGCCCCCUACUCUGGGAUAAGCCUGGGAAACUGGGUCUAAUACUGGAUAUGACCAUUCACUGCAUGGUGUGUUGGUGGAAAGAUUUUUUGGUGGGGGAUGGACUCGCGGCCUAUCAGCUUGUUGGUGGGGUAAUGGCCUACCAAGGCGACGACGGGUAGCCGGCCUGAGAGGGCGACCGGCCACACUAGGACUGAGACACGGCCCAGACUCCUACGGGAGGCAGCAGUGGGGAAUAUUGCACAAUGGGCGAAAGCCUGAUGCAGCGACGCCGCGUGAGGGAUGACGGCCUUCGGGUUGUAAACCUCUUUCACCAGGGACGAAGCUAACGUGACGGUACCUGGAGAAGAAGCACCGGCUAACUACGUG
rnacentral:rRNA from 1 species